rnacentral:tRNA from 2 species
GGCCCCUUAGUCUAGUGGUAAGGACGAGUGGUUCUCAGCCAUUAAGCAGGGGUUCGAUUCCCCUAGGGGCCGCCA